UACGGGGGGAGCAAGCGUUGUUCGGAUUUACUGGGCGUAAAGGGCGCGUAGGCGGCCACCGCAAGUCGGUUGUGAAAUCUCUGGGCUUAACCCAGAAAGGUCAACCGAUACUGCGGGGCUAGAGUGCAGAAGGGGCAACUGGAAUUCUCGGUGUAGCGGUGAAAUGCGCAGAUAUCAGGAAGAACACCCGUGGCGAAGGCGGCUCUCUGGGACGGUACUGACGCUGAGACGCGAAAGCGUGGGGAGCGAACAGG
rnacentral:rRNA from 1 species